rnacentral:rRNA from 1 species
UACGAAGGGGGCUAGCGUUGCUCGGAAUCACUGGGCGUAAAGGGCGCGUAGGUGGUUUGCCAAGUCGGGGUUGAAAUCUUUCGGCUUAACCGGAAAAGUGGCUUCGAUACUGGCAAGCUGGAGGGAGGUAGGGGCGGAUGGAACUUCCGGUGGAGCGGUGAAAUGUGUUGAUAUCGGAAGGAACGCCGGUGGCGAAAGCGAUCCGCUGGACCUCUUCUGACACUGAGGUGCGAAAGCCAGGGGAGCAAACGGG